rnacentral:lncRNA from 1 species
GAGACAUGCAGCAGCAGAAGCAGCUAGCUAGCUUUAUCAGCCGACAUGGGGCGUCUGGGCGACUGUGUCGACGAAGAUCCGGACGCGGUUGGUGCGGUAAUCCAUGGUCACCGGCGAGCCGACGGGCAGCACGACGAUGUCGGCGUCGGGCUUGUCCUUGAGGAUCACUUUCUUGGCUUCCUCCACGCUCUUCCCGACCACCUCCGGCCACGACGUCUUGGCGCCGCCGCACUCUGGUGCCGCCGUCGCCGUGGAGCUCAUGGUCGGCGGUUGUCGGUCGCGAAUUGAAACUGCAAAUCAGUUGAUGACAGAUAUGAUGCUCUGGCCUGUGAAUUAAAAGGAAACUAACAAACUACUGAUAACUACUGUAUUAGUAUUGCAAAAAGCUAGCCAAAAGCGUAAGGUAUGUAUGUAUUUGAAAGGCAGGGGCAGGCACACUCACGGGCAAGUGUGGCUUUGUUAUUGUGCUUCUUAUGCUGCUGAUUAAACGAGUAUGCACUGGUGAGGUAUUUAUAGAGCUGCUGCAACCUAGCUACUGGCACAGGAUGCGUGUGUGUUCAUCAGGAUUAUUAUUUGGUCUAAAGCUAGCUAGGCAAAUAUUAGGCCUUGUUUAGUUCACCCAAAAAACCAAAAACUUUUCAAAAUUCUCCGUCACAUCGAAUCUUGCAGCACAUGCAUAAAGCAUUAAAUAUAGUCAAAAAUAAAAAUUAAUUACACAGUUUGUCUGUAAAUCGUGAGAUGAAUCUUUUUAUUCUAGUUAGUUCGUAAUUGGACGAAAUUGCUACAGGGCUCCAAACCAAAAAAAUUUGGAAACUAAACAAGGCCUUAAACAAAAAGGAGAAAGGAUAAUGUGUUGAUGGUGGCAAGAAAUCGUAGCCGCUCCGCCGCUCAACAAUAAUGCGUGCAUAUAUUAUAUAUAUAUACGCACGAGGCACACGAGGUGGCCCCGGCCAGUAAUAAAAAACAAGAAAAGAAAAAGAUAGCAACGAUACAGAAACAUGCAUCCAUAUGGUUUUUCCUCGCUUGCAACCAAAUAGUGAGCAGAGCUUCAGUACGAGCAGCUGGCACUGAUGUACAGAAACUUGGCAAUUAGUGAAUAACGUCUUUUUCGUUAUAUUCUUCUCCUCUCAUCGAUCGUCGCGGCAACUAGAUAGUCUCGGACCUUUAGCUACAUAUAAUUGCUCCUGCUAAAUUAUUACAAGAUCUAUCCUAGAGAGCUCUCGAGAGAUUACUCAGUUAACCUACAUUUGGAGAAACCAAGUAAUGGGUUAAUUCGACUCUCCAUGGGACCGACUAAUUUUUUCUGAAUUUAACAUUGUUGUGUAGACGCUCGUCGACAGCGAGACAACUAUGAUAAAUUCAUCAAUCUCAAAGAUUUAUCGGUCUAGUCUUCGAAAAAGUUCAUAGAGUCAGGUUUACAUGCUUACAUUCAUAAGAUGAGUAUACUGUGUUGUACCGUUUGUAACUUUAAAAAAAUAACCGACCACUAUUGGUACAUGGUGGAUCUAUAUGCACCGAUCACUUAAACUGUCUUGUUCAUUGACCCCGAAUGCUAAGAUUUUUUUUUAUUGGAAAAGGUACUGCACGGCGGCAGAAUUUUUCUUCCAUAACAAAUGAAGCUUCUAUUAACUUUUUUUAAUGAAAGUUACAAUAAUUAACUUUCAACAUCACUGUGAAGGACCUGCUCAUGGGUUGUCUUUUGGGCCGCUCAAAACACGCGAAGGAUUAUGCACUAGCCACUGGGCUUCCUUUGGCCCACAGAACUAAUAAGCAGCAGCGUGGCGGGCGGGUACCAGAAUCCCAACUCUCGGGUAGCUGCUGUUACGGAUAUUUUCCGGGGUGAUCUCAUCUCCUCGGAUUCCCUUUACGGGAGAUCUAUCCUAACUACGACUUCCCCACGACGGCCUACGGGAUAUCACCCACGACUACGCACGUACCCGUGGAGACCGGUUCCACCUCCGUGAUAUCACCCACGACUCAUCGUGGGCACGAGUUUACUUGGGGCGAGAGUUUCCUCUCCCCCCGACUGUAUAAAUACCCGUGAUCAAUGAAUAAACAGACACCCCGAGUUCAUUCUAUUCCUCUCUGUUCUCGUACUCUCGCUUUCUACUCGUAACACGUUAUCAGCACAUCGCUCUCCCCUACCCCAGAGAGGAAUAGCUCGGUUGGAUAGAACAUCGUCGAGGGAUCGACCUUCGCCCAGGGCAUCACCCCAAGAUUGUACGGGAGUCAAUCCGAUGGAUGAGGAAAUGUGCCUAGUGGACAGUGGCACCACUAACUCUAUACUCAGGGAAAUAAAAUAUUUCCAAACUCUCACAAAGAGCAAAGAAAAUGUUUUAACAAUCGCUGGACGCGAUGCCGUAAUAGCAGGCUCUGGUAGAGCCAUUAUUACGCUCCCUAUGGGUACAACGAUUACAAUCGAGGAUGCACUUCUGUAUCCUGAUUCAACUCGUACCUUAUUGAGUUAUAGAGAUAUCCGCAAAAAUGGGUAUCAUAUCGAAACCCAUCACCAAAAUAAUGAGGAGUUCCUCCUCAUUACAAAGGAUAACGGAUAUGGCAGAGAUACUCUCGAAAGAAUUCCCUCCACUUCGUCUGGAUUGUACUAUUCAUACAUAAAACCUGUACAACAUGUUGCGUACAAAGUAAUUUUUCAGAAUGUCAAUGCAUUCCAAACUUGGCAUGAUCGCCUUGGUCACCCUGGCAUAGGGAUGAUGAGAAAAAUUACUAGCAAUUCUGUUGGUCACUCGCUAACCAAUGUAAAAUUUCCCCAAUCCUCGGAUUAUACUUGCACUGCAUGUGCAACAGGGAAAUUAAUUUUGAGGCCCUCUUCCCUCAAAAUCAAAGUUGAACCACUCAACUUCCUUGAACGCAUUCAAGGGGACAUAUGUGGCCCGAUAAAUCCUUUAUCGGGACCGUUCAGGUACUUCAUGGUUCUAAUAGACGCAUCCACACGAUGGUCUCAUGUGUCUCUUCUAUCGACACGAAACCAUGCUUUUGCCAAAAUAAUUGCGCAAGUUAUCAAACUCAAAGCGCAACAUCCUGAACAUCAAAUAAAAUCCAUUAGGAUGGAUAACGCUGCUGAAUUUUCCUCUCGAGCCUUCAAUGAUUAUUGUAUGGCCUUAGGAAUACAAGUACAGCAUUCUGUCCCAUAUGUCCAUACACAAAAUGGGUUAGCCGAGUCUCUCAUCAAGAGAAUCAAGCUCAUCGCUAGACCGCUACUGCAGAAUUGCAAUCUACCAACCCCAUGUUGGGGUCAUGCAGUCUUACACGCUGCUGAACUGAUUCAAUUGCGACCAACUGCAUACCAUGCAACGUCCCCGUUGCAACUAGUACAUGGAAAUCCCCCAAGCAUUUCCCAUCUGCGAAAGUUCGGUUGCGCUACAUACGUACCGAUCUCACCACCGAAGCGUACAACAAUGGGCCUCCAUAGAAAAUUGGGGAUCUAUGUGGGAUACAAAUCUCCGUCGAUUAUAAAGUAUCUAGAGCCCACCACAGGGGACCUCUUUACGGCCCGGUAUGCCGAUUGUAUCUUCAAUGAAGAUCAUUUUCCGGUAUUAGGGGGAGACUUACCACAUCACAAACAAUGCCAGGAAAUCAAUUGGGAUGCCCCAGACAUUCCCAACUCAGAUCCACGUACUUCAGAAUCUGAACUCCAAGUUCAGAAAAUCAUAAAUUUGCAACACAUUGCAAAUAACGUGCCAGACGCAUUUACUGAUUAUAAGGGUGUUACAAAAUCCUAUAAUCCAGCGAGAAAUGUACCGGAAAGAGUAGAGGUACCAAACAAAACUACUCAACUCCCUAGUAAGAGGGGGAGAAGUACGGCUAUCUCCACGGAUACAGCUUCUAGCAAGCAAAGGAAACGGAAGACAAAAUCUUCUGAUCCAGUAAAUGCAGCUCAACCUCAUGUUGAGGAACACCCAGUGGAGGUUCAACCUUCACAUCCCACAUCAACAGUGCACUCAAUUACUGAUGCUGGGACAUCGGAAUACCCUGAUGCGACCAUCUUGGGAAAUGAUGAUGCAUCGGAAAGGGUCCAUGAAAUUUCCAUCAACUAUGCAGAAACUGGAGAGUCAUUUGAUAGAAAGACUACAAUUGUCGACUCAUAUUUCUCCGCAAUGAUUGCCGAAAUCCUUGAAAAUGAUCCAGAUCCUAAGACCAUGGCAGAGUGCAAAACGCGCUCGGACUGGAACCAAUGGAAGGAUGCAAUCCAAGCAGAAAUAUCCUCGCUCACAAAAAGACAGGUAUUCUCACAAGUAAUACCUACACCUCCACAAGUAUUCCCUGUGGGAUUCAAGUGGGUUUUCGUCCGAAAGCGGAACGAGAACAAUGAGGUGGUGAGAUACAAAGCGAGGCUUGUAGCACAAGGGUUCACGCAGAGACCCGGCAUUGACUUCAAUGAAACAUACUCUCCAGUCAUGGGUGGAAUAACAUUCCGAUACUUAAUCUCUCUGGCUGUACAAAAUCGUCUAUCUAUGCAGUUGAUGGACGUAGUGACUGCAUAUCUCUAUGGGUCACUCGAUUCGGACAUAUACAUGAAGGUUCCUGACGGAAUCCCAAUACCGAAUCAAAACGCAAAUCGCAACAUGUAUUGUGUAAAGCUACAGAAAUCACUCUAUGGCUUAAAGCAGUCGGGAAGAAUGUGGUAUAACCGACUCAGCGAGUACCUUCUGCAGAAGGGCUACUCCAACAGUGAUGAUUGCCCAUGUGUCUUCAUCAAGAAAUCCCAAAUGGGAUUCUGCAUCAUAUCGGUGUAUGUUGAUGAUUUAAAUAUCAUCGGCCACAAACAAGAUAUUGAUGAGGCAUGCAAACAUCUUAAGACGGAGUUCGAGUUGAAGGAUUUGGGUAAAACCAAAUUCUGCUUAGGCCUACAGCUUGAGCAUCUUUCAACUGGAAUCUUUGUGCAUCAAUCUGCAUAUGUCCAAAAAGUAUUGGAGAGAUUCAAUAUGGACAAAGCAUAUCCUUCCAAAACCCCUAUGGUUGUUCGGUCUUUGGGAUUAAACACUAAUCCAUUCAGACCACAAGAUGAGGGGGAGGAAAUCCUAGGACCUCAUGUCCCAUACCUUAGUGCCGUUGGAGCACUGAUGUACCUUGCCAAUAGCACCAGGCCUGACAUCGCUUUCGCAGUGAAUUUGCUAGCAAGGCACAGUGCCGCUCCUACCAAGAGACAUUGGACAGGAGUAAAACAGAUCCUCAGAUAUGUUAAUGGCACAAGGGAUCUCGGAUUAUUCUUCCAAAGAGGAACAAAUCCUGAGAUGAUAGGAUACACCGAUGCUGGAUAUCAAUCAGACCCCCAUAAUGGCAGAUCACAAACCGGUUUCGUAUUCUUACAAAACGGAACCGCCAUAUCAUGGACAUCAUCCAAGCAAACCUUGGCAACAACGUCCACGAAUCAUUCUGAAAUAGUCGCAUUAUAUGAGGCCUCACGUGAAUGCGUUUGGCUUCGCAGAAUGAUCAACCACAUACAGCAAUCGUGUGGUCUUAAAGCUAUCACAGCUCCAACCAUUAUCUAUGAAGAUAAUGCUGCUUGUGUUACACAGAUGGAGACAGGCUAUAUCAAGAGCAAUAUCAACAAACACAUCUCUCCAAAGUUGUUCUAUCCUCAUGAAUUACAACAAAAAGGAGAGAUUGAUAUCUUGAAAACCAAAUCAUGCGACAAUCUCGCUGACCUAUUCACUAAGUCCCUACCAGCUUCCUCAUUUGAAAAAUGUGUCAAAGGAAUUGGUAUGCGACGACUUAGGGAUUUGCAAAGUUCAGGGGGAGAAAUCUCCUAGACAUUGGUCUGUCUACACCAUCGUAUUACACUCUUUUCUCUCUAUGAGUUUUUCCUCACAAGGUUUCUCAUAAGGAGUUUUUAAUGAGAUAAUGUUAACACAAGAGUGUCAUAUUCCUUGUUUUCCCCACAGGGGUUUUUAAAGGAGUAUCAAAGACACAUAUUGUCCUCUAAACUACAACAUGAGAUUUCUCCUGCAAAGGUUUUCUCAUAUUAGUUUACAAUGAGGCAAUCAUUAAGUGCUAUAACUUUCUCCUUCUUUUCCCAAGCGGUUUUAAGGAGUUUUACCAUAGCACAUAUACACACGUAUUUUUCCUCGUUUUUAUCCUACAGGAAUUUUUGGAGGAGCAAUACGAUUCAUUGAUCUCAACAAGUGAUUCGAUCAAGGAGGAGUGUUACGGAUAUUUUCCGGGGUGAUCUCAUCUCCUUGGAUUCCCUUUACGGGAGAUCUAUCCUAACUACGACUUCCCCCACGACGGCCUACGGGAUAUCACCCACGACUACGCACGUACCCGUGGAGACCGGUUCCACCUCCGUGAUAUCACCCACGACUCAUCGUGGGCACGAGUUUACUUGGGGCGAGAGUUUCCUCUCCCCCCCCCCGACUGUAUAAAUACCCGUAAUCAAUGAAUAAACAGACACCCCGAGUUCAUUCUAUUCCUCUCUGUUCUCGUACUCUCGCUUUCUACUCGUAACAGCUGCGAGCAAGAGCUUGAGGUGACCAUCUCCUCGACAUAAACCUAUCUUUUUUUUUGCUUGUAUGUGUGUUUUCUUGUAUUUAGAACUUCGUGACAAAUCACUAGGUAAUGUUAAGUUGAUACACCAUAUGCAUCCUCAAAACCCUUGCACUGUGCGUGCUACAUGUCAACAAGAUUUGCAUAGCAUAAAAAACUUUUAUAUAACAUAUAAAAUGUAUUUUGGUCCCAUGUCUAAAGUUUAUCCAUUAAAUUUUACUCACUCUGUCCUAUUCUCAUUUUCUGAUAAACAACUUUGACUAAAUAUAUAUAUUAAAAAAUAUUAAUACUUGAUACAUAAUUAGUAUCAUCGGAAAGGUCUUUAAUCUAGUUUUUUUAAUAAAUUUAUUUCAGAAAACAAUAUUACUUAUGUACAUAAUUAGUAUCAUCGGAAAGAUAUUUGAGUCUAGUUUUUUAACAAAUUUAUUUUGAGAAAUAAAUAUUGUACGUAUUUUUUGAUAAAUCUAGUUAAAUUUGUGACACAAAAACUUAAAAUAAUAGAUAUUUUGGAACGGAGGAAGUAGACCAUUUUAGUUUUUGUCCCUUCAAACCCCAUACAUUAUGGCCUUGUCUAGUUGGCAAAAUUUUUAGAUUUUGGAUACUGUAGCACUAUCGUUUGUUUGUGGUAAAUAUUGUCCAAUCAUAGACUAAUUAGGAUCAAAAGAUUCAUCUCGUGAUUUACAGACAAACUGUAUAAUUAGUUUUUGUUUUCGUCUAAAUUUAAUAUUUCAUGUAUGUGCUGCAAAAUUCGAUGUGACAAGAAAUCUUGAAAUUUUUUGCCCAUAGAGAUUGUGCAUGUUCCUUUAUCGGAGCCGGUGUACGAGGUCAUUGAUGUACUGGCAGGACAGGUUUAUGUUUGGUUCAUUGUGGGCACAUUCAAUUCGUUUGUUUCGGCAUCAUCAAAGCGUGAUUUUCCUAUGUUUUGUGGUGUGUAGGAUUAAGUUGUAUGAUCUUAAACACUUACUCUGGUGUGUGGCGCGAAGCUGGUUUUUCAAGUAACGGUGUUAUGAGGAGGCUUUUGGUCCUAGGAGAGCCGUAGAUGAUGACUUAACUUUGGAUUGUGUGGUUGGAGUGUACAGUAUUUGUUCUAAUAAUAACCUCCAGAUGCCACCGGCGGAGGAUUCCUUUAAUGUUCCAAAGACAAACUGACGGAGCUCCAGGAGAAGGGCUCCGAUGGCCUCCAUUAUACAUAUUUGCCUAUCAAAGGAGGAAGCUCAAAGGUCUGUGCAUGUCUACAAUUUUUCAAACAAAAAAACACACACACGUCAUGAAGCAGCAUAUUCAAUGUAGAUAAAAUUCUAUGAAGCUGCUACAUAGACGUUUUUUAUGAUAUGGCAAUGUUUUUAGGAAGAAAGAGAUGAAACUCUCUUGACACGAUUUUACCAAGAAUCAUGAAAUUAAAUGUCUUUGAAACAAUAGAAUAAAACUAAUGAGGGUAUAUAUAUGUUUCAUCCAUGUUUCAUUAUAUUUUACAUAAUAUAACUGUCCUGAUCUAAGUAACAUAACUGCGCGCUUUGACAGAGAAACAACUCGAAAUAAGAUCCGAACAACUUCAAAAAGAACACCUAAAUCAAAGUUUCGAGAAUUUAAUUAACACAACCAAGAUUCAAUUGUGUUUGACAGCUGUUUUUUAAUGAUAGAAAGUGAAAACAAACAACUGAUCAAUCCCCUUUGAUAUAUUCAUUUCGUACUAGGAAGUAGGAACACACUUGAUGCAUACAUAUUUAUUUAUGCAACAGCGAUGCCAUUAUUUAGUGCAUAUAUAUAAGUUUAUAAGUAGGGAAGAAACACACGUACACAUCCAUGCAUUAUUCGUCAGAUACACGUACGGACAUGAAUACAUAUAUAACAUGUCCGACUUAUUCAUUUUACAGAAUAGAAUAUUCAGUUCUGGAGCAAGGAAGGAAUCAAAGCUAGCUAGGCAUCACCCAGCCUCUUAAUUAAUCAGCCGAUGUGGGGUGUCUGGGCGACGGUGUCGACGAAGAUACGCACGCGGCUGGGCACAAAAUCUGCGGUCACAAUCGUGCCGACGGGCAGCACGACGAUGUCGGCGUCAGGCUUGUCCUUGAGGAUCACCUUCUUUGCUUCCUCCACGCUCUUCCCGACCACCUCCGGCCACGACGUCUUGGCGCCGCCGCAAUCCGCCGCCGUCGCCGUGGAGCUCAUCGUCGUCGGUUGUCGGUCGCGAAUUGAAACUGCGAAAUCGUCAGUUGAUCGAUGACGAUGCAAAAAAGGAAACAGACUACUGCUACUGCAUUAUUGCAAAGAAAAACGUAAAGUAUAGAAAGGCACACUCACGUGCAACUGAUACGGUGCUUAUUGCUAUCUUGCUUCUUGUACUGCUGGUUAGAUCGA